AUAAAACCCAAAACCUUUUCUUUCUCUCUUUUCCCGUGUGAGUAAACCCAAUGAAACCCAACAUGAAACCCCUCCUCUGUUGUUUUGCUCGACGAUACAAAAUCCCAAACCCCAACCAUUUUCUCUCUCGUCCCCUGCUCUUUGCCUCGCCGGAGUUGCGCCUCUCCUCGCCGGCGUUCUUGAAGCUCGUCGGAGACGCGUCUACUCCUCCACUUGCGCGAUGUUGCGGCUGUGAUAGAUCCCCUGUUCGCGAUUUUUCUCUCCUCCUCCUCCUCUAUUUCGUCGAUGUUGUUGUUGUUUUUAGCGGUGCUGCCGCUCAGUCUUCAAUUCGGUUCGUGGUGGUUGUGCCGCCGCUGCUGGGUUGCCGCUGCUCUGCCCUAUAUUUUCUCUCUCCUUUCGUUGUUGUUGCUGCGUUUGUGGCGGUUGUACCACCGUUCUGGGUUGGCCACCGCGAGUUGUAGCUCGCCGGACCUACUGAUCACUGUUGCUUGUUGGUGUUUGUCGUUGUGCACCAAAGCUUUGAGACCCUCUGUCUCUCGGUUCUCCUUUGUUCUUCGCUGCUCACGUUGAGCAGAGAUGAUGAUUUUGGAGUGAAGAAUCAUUCGGGAUUAUGAAGUUGAUUAUGUUGGUGGAAUCUGAAUUGCUUUCAGGUUUGGUAUCAAGAGUUCCAGAAUGGAAGUGAAGCAAGAUUAUGGUGUCGUCCUAGAUUUAGGAUUGAGUUUGUAUAUAGAUAGCUGAUUUGAAAAUAGUUAUUUAUGUUUCGUUGUAUAUGAUAUUUGAGAAUAUUAUUGGAGAUAUUGGUGUAUUUGAGGAUAUUUUUUCCGCUGCGAAGUAAUUUAUUUAAGAGUUAAUUCUAGUUUA